rnacentral:rRNA from 1 species
UUAAAUUGAAGAGUUUGAUCAUGGCUCAGAUUGAACGCUGGCGGCAGGCCUAACACAUGCAAGUCGAACGGUAACAGGAAGCAGCUUGCUGCUUUGCUGACGAGUGGCGGACGGGUGAGUAAUGUCUGGGAAACUGCCUGAUGGAGGGGGAUAACUACUGGAAACGGUAGCUAAUACCGCAUAACGUCGCAAGACCAAAGAGGGGGACCUUAGGGCCUCUUGCCAUCGGAUGUGCCCAGAUGGGAUUAGCUAGUAGGUGGGGUAACGGCUCACCUAGGCGACGAUCCCUAGCUGGUCUGAGAGGAUGACCAGCCACACUGGAACUGAGACACGGUCCAGACUCCUACGGGAGGCAGCAGUGGGGAAUAUUGCACAAUGGGCGCAAGCCUGAUGCAGCCAUGCCACGUGUAUGAAGAAGGCCUUCGGGUUGUAAAGUACUUUCAGCGGGGAGGAAGGGAGUAAAGUUAAUACCUUUGCUCAUUGACGUUACCCGCAGAAGAAGCACCGGCUAACUCCGUGCCAGCAGCCGCGGUAAUACGGAGGGUGCAAGCGUUAAUCGGAAUUACUGGGCGUAAAGCGCACGCAGGCGGUUUGUUAAGUCAGAUGUGAAAUCCCCGGGCUCAACCUGGGAACUGCAUCUGAUACUGGCAAGCUUGAGUCUCGUAGAGGGGGGUAGAAUUCCAGGUGUAGCGGUGAAAUGCGUAGAGAUCUGGAGGAAUACCGGUGGCGAAGGCGGCCCCCUGGACGAAGACUGACGCUCAGGUGCGAAAGCGUGGGGAGCAAACAGGAUUAGAUACCCUGGUAGUCCACGCCGUAAACGAUGUCGACUUGGAGGUUGUGCCCUUGAGGCGUGGCUUCCGGAGCUAACGCGUUAAGUCGACCGCCUGGGGAGUACGGCCGCAAGGUUAAAACUCAAAUGAAUUGACGGGGGCCCGCACAAGCGGUGGAGCAUGUGGUUUAAUUCGAUGCAACGCGAAGAACCUUACCUGGUCUUGACAUCCACGGAAGUUUUCAGAGAUGAGAAUGUGCCUUCGGGAACCGUGAGACAGGUGCUGCAUGGCUGUCGUCAGCUCGUGUUGUGAAAUGUUGGGUUAAGUCCCGCAACGAGCGCAACCCUUAUCCUUUGUUGCCAGCGGUCCGGCCGGGAACUCAAAGGAGACUGCCAGUGAUAAACUGGAGGAAGGUGGGGAUGACGUCAAGUCAUCAUGGCCCUUACGACCAGGGCUACACACGUGCUACAAUGGCGCAUACAAAGAGAAGCGACCUCGCGAGAGCAAGCGGACCUCAUAAAGUGCGUCGUAGUCCGGAUUGGAGUCUGCAACUCGACUCCAUGAAGUCGGAAUCGCUAGUAAUCGUGGAUCAGAAUGCCACGGUGAAUACGUUCCCGGGCCUUGUACACACCGCCCGUCACACCAUGGGAGUGGGUUGCAAAAGAAGUAGGUAGCUUAACCUUCGGGAGGGCGCUUACCACUUUGUGAUUCAUGACUGGGGUGAAGUCGUAACAAGGUAACCGUAGGGGAACCUGCGGUUGGAUCACCUCCUUACCUUAAAGAAGC